rnacentral:rRNA from 1 species
AGUGAAGCCGCGAAAUAGCUCAUUACAACAGCCAUCGUUUAAUGGAUAUAUUUUUACAUGGGAUAACUGUGGUAAUUCUACAGCUAAUACACGCAUCAAAACCCAACCUUACGGUGGGGUGCGUUUGUUACUUCAAACCAAUCGGACUUCGGUCUGAAAUCAAGUGAUAUUGAACAAUUUAGCUGAUCGCACGGUCUGAGAACCGGCGACAUAUCCUUCAAAUGUCUGCCUUAUCAACUUUCGAUGGUAGAUUACGCGCCUACCAUGGUUGUAACGGGUAACGGAGAAUCAGGGUUUGAUUCCGGAGAGGGAGCCUGAGAAACGGCUACCACAUCCAAGGAAGGCAGCAGGCACGCAAAUUACCCACUCCCGGCACGGGGAGGUAGUGACGAAAAAUAACAAGCUGGUCUCUUUGAGUUCCGGCAUUGUAAUGGGAACAAUUUAAAUCAUUUAUCGAGGAUCUAUUGGAGGGCAAGUCUGGUGCCAGCAGCCGCGGUAAUUCCAGCUCCAAUAGCGUAUAUUAAAGUUGUUGCGGUUAAAAAGCUCGUAGUUGGAUCUAGGAUUAGGGCUACGGUCGUUCAGCUUGGACGUACUGUAUGUCCGACUCCUUUUCUCCAGUAUUCGAUUGUUGCUCUUAAAUGAGUGACUCUAGUUGCUGGAACUUUUACCUUGAAAAAAUUGAAGUGCUCAAAGCAGGUCUCUGCCUGAACAUUGCUGCAUGGGAUAAUAGAAUAGGAUUUCGGUCCUAUUUUGUUGGUUUCGGGACACGAAAUAAUGAUUAAUAGGGACAGACGGGGGCAUUUGUAUUGCUGCGUUAGAGGUGAAAUUCUUGGAUCGUAGCAAGACAAACUACUGCGAAAGCAUUUGCCAAGAAUGUUUUCAUUAAUCAAGAACGAAAGUUAGAG